rnacentral:rRNA from 1 species
AUUGAACGCUGGCGGCAUGCUUUACACAUGCAAGUCGGACGAGUGGCGAACGGGUGAGUAACGCAUCGGAACGUAACGAGUCAUGGGGGAUAAGUGUCCGAAAGGACAGCAAAUACCGCAUAUUAUUCGAGCGGGCGAUGUCGGAUUAGCUGGUUGGCGGGGUAAAGGCCCACCAAGGCGACGAUCAGUAGCGGGUCGGAGAGGAGGAUCCGCCACACUGGGACUGAGACACGGCCCUGACUCCUACGGGAGGCAGCAGUGGGGAAUUUUGGACAAUGGGCGCAAGCCUGAUCCAGCCAUGCCGCGUGUGUGAAGAAGGGCUUCGGAUUGUAAAGCACUGUAAGUGGGGAGGCGUUACCAACAGAAUAAGCACCGGCUAACUUCGUGCCAGCCGCCGCGGUAAUUC